rnacentral:rRNA from 1 species
GAUGAACGCUAGCGGCAGGCCUAACACAUGCAAGUCGAGGGGUAUCCCGCUUUCGGGCGGGAGAGACCGGCGCACGGGUGCGUAACGCGUAUGCAACCUACCCUGUACUGAGGGAUAGCCCGGAGAAAUUCGGAUUAACACCUCAUAGUACUAAUGAAUGGCAUCAUUUAUUAGUUAAAGGUUACGGUACAGGAUGGGCAUGCGUCCUAUUAGCUAGGUGGUAAGGUAACGGCUUACCAUGGCUACGAUAGGUAGGGGGCCUGAGGGGGUGGUACCCCACACGUGUACUGAGACACGGACCAGACUCCUACGGUAGGCAGCAGUGAGGAAUAUUGGUCAAUGGGCGCAAGCCUGAACCAUCCAUGGCGCGUGCAGGAAGACGGUCCUAUGGAUUGUACACUGCUUUUAUUUGGGAAUAACCCUCUUUACGUGUAGAGAGCUGACGCUACCAAAUGAAUAAGCACCGGCUAACUCCGUGCCAGCCGCCGCCGUAA